GGCCUUUCGGGGUACACGAGCGGCGAACGGGUGAGUAACACGUGGGUGAUCUGCCCUGCACUUCGGGAUAAGCCUGGGAAACUGGGUCUAAUACCGGAUAUGACCUCCUAUCGCAUGGUGGGUGGUGGAAAGAUUUAUCGGUGCAGGAUGGGCCCGCGGCCUAUCAGCUUGUUGGUGGGGUAAUGGCCUACCAAGGCGACGACGGGUAGCCGACCUGAGAGGGUGACCGGCCACACUGGGACUGAGACACGGCCCAGACUCCUACGGGAGGCAGCAGUGGGGAAUAUUGCACAAUGGGCGAAAGCCUGAUGCAGCGACGCCGCGUGAGGGAUGACGGCCUUCGGGUUGUAAACCUCUUUCAGCAGGGACGAAGCGCAAGUGACGGUACCUGCAGAAGAAGCACCGGCUAACUACGUGCCAGCAGCCGCGGUAAUACGUAGGGUGCAAGCGUUGUCCGGAAUUACUGGGCGUAAAGAGUUCGUAGGCGGUUUGUCGCGUCGUUUGUGAAAACCAGCAGCUCAACUGCUGGCUUGCAGGCGAUACGGGCAGACUUGAGUACU
rnacentral:rRNA from 1 species